rnacentral:tRNA from 1 species
AAAGCUUUCGGGCCCAUACCCCGAACAUGUUGGUUAAACCCCCUCCUUUACUA